rnacentral:lncRNA from 1 species
UCAAACAUAAAGAAACUUAAGAGCAACUAAAAAUUUACAAAUCGAAUACAUUCAAAAGUAAUAUAAUUAGCUAUUAAAAAAAAGAAACAAUUAUAAUCAAGAGAGUCAAAAAGUCAUAAGAGACAAAAUUGCAAAAAUUCAGAAAACUUUGAGGUCAUGAAUAUAAUUUUUCAAAAGUUUAGGAACAAAAUUAAAUAAAAGAUAAAGUUUAGGGACCAAAUUAUAAUAAAAUAAGCAUCUAAUUGAAAUAAAUUAAAAGUUUUUAGAGCCACAAUAAAACUACACCAAAGAUCAGGGGCUAUUGUUGCAAAAUCCAUUUCUGAUGUCUUAGGAAAACAUGGCCAUUGGACUACCUUUAGUGUUUUCCUGGGCCAAAAAUCCCUUCAGCCCAAAGUAGAAAAAAUCGAAAUGGAGUGGACCAGCCCAAUAAAUUUACUAAGCUAAGCCUGACGAAAACGGGUUUGCUUGAACCCCAAACGUAGUCACCAGUCCAAUCGAAACAAAACACAAAAAUAACGCUUGACCCAACUGAAAAUCAAGAAACAAGCCCACCAAAAAAAUAAAAAUUAGCCCAACACUUUUUUUCUUCUUUUUCCUUCUUUUUUUUUCCUCCCUCUUCUUCUUCUCCUUCUUCGGCCAGUUGAAGCUUCUUUAGCUAGCUGCCAUGGCAGCCGCCGCCGCCGGACCGACGGCGACCUCUCUGAUUGCGAAAAGUUAUCAAAAUAUAUCUCCCCACUCGAUUUUUCGCAUAAAAUUCAUUUUUGGGCUUAGUUCUUACAAAAAAAAAAAAAAGAACCGAAAGUGGUGAAAAUGCCAAGAAAUCAGUCCAGCUUUUUAUUUUUUUAA